rnacentral:rRNA from 1 species
UACGUAGGGUGCGAGCGUUGUCCGGAAUUACUGGGCGUAAAGAGCUCGUAGGCGGUUUGUCGCGUCUGCCGUGAAAGUCCGGGGCUCAACUCCGGAUCUGCGGUGGGUACGGGCAGACUAGAGUGAUGUAGGGGAGACUGGAAUUCCUGGUGUAGCGGUGAAAUGCGCAGAUAUCAGGAGGAACACCGGUGGCGAAGGCGGGUCUCUGGGCCGAUACUGACGCUGAGGAGCGAAAGCGUGGGGAGCGAACAGG